rnacentral:rRNA from 1 species
UUCCGGUUGAUCCUGCCGGACCCCACUGCUAUCGGGAUAGGACUAAGACAUGCUAGUCAAGCGCUUUCAAGCUAAUGUGAGAGCGCGGCAUACAGCUCAGUAGCACGUGGCUAACCUGCCCUUGGGACGGAGACAUCCCCGGGAAACUGGGGCUAAUUUCCGAUAGGUGAAAAAUUCUGGAAUGAAUUUUCGCUUAAAAGGCGUUUAUGUCAUGCUCAUAGGCGUUGCCCAGGGAUGGGGCCGCGACCGAUCAGGUUGUUGGUGAGGUAAUGGCUUACCAAGCCUUUUACCGGUACGGGCCGUGAGAGCGGGAGCCCGGAGAUGGGCACUGAGACAAGGGCCCAGGCCCUACGGGGCGCAGCAGUCGCGAAAACUUUGCAAUACACGAAAGUGUGACAAGGCUAUCCCGAGUGCCAUCCGCUGAGGAAGGCUUUUACCCAGUAUAAAUAGCUGGGAGAAUAAGGAGAGGGCAAGUCUGGUGUCAGCCGCCGCGGUAAUACCAGCUCUCCGAGUAGUGUGGACGUUUAUUGGGCCUAAAGCAUCCGUAGCUUGCUAAGCAAGUCCCCUGUUAAAUCCACCGAUUCAAUCGGUGGAUUGCGGGGGAUACUGUUUGGCUAGGGGACGGGAGAGGCCGACGGUAUUUCCGGGGUAGGGGUGAAAUCCUAUAAUCCCGGGAAGACCACCAGUGGCGAAGGCUGUCGGCUAGAACGCGCCCGACGGUGAGGGAUGAAAGCUGGGGGAGCGAACCGGAUUAGAUACCCGGGUAGUCCCAGCUGUAAACGAUGCAGCUAGGUGUUUGGGCGGCCACGAGCCGCUCUAGUGCCGCAGGGAAGCUGUUAAGCCUGCCGCCUGGGGAGUACGGCCGCAAGGCUGAAACUUAAAGGAAUUGGCGGGGGAGCACCCACAAGGGGUGAAGCUUGCGUUUAAUUGAGUCACGCCGGGA